GGCCGCAGUAUUUUGACUGUGCAAAGGUAGCAUAAUCAUUAGUCUUUUAAUUGGAGGCUAGUAUGAAUGGUUAGAUGAAAUAAAUUCUGUUUUGUAUGGAUAAAUUGAAUUUAUAUUUUAAGUAAAAAUACUUAAAUGAUGUUAAGGGACGAGAAGACCCUAUAGAGUUUUAUACAAGUAAUUUUAAUUAAGUUAAUUUUUUGAAUUAAGGGUUAAUUAUGGGUUGUAUUUGGUUGGGGUGAUUAAAAAAUAAGAGGAAUUUUUUUUUGAUAUAAAUAUUAUGAAAAGUAUUUUGAUCCAGAUAUAAUGAGUGAAAGAUUAAAUUACCUUAGGGAUAACAGCAUAA
rnacentral:rRNA from 1 species